GAUGAAGAACGUAGCAAAAUGCGAUACUUGGUGUGAAUUGCAGAAUCCCGUGAACCAUCGAGUUUUUGAACGCAAGUUGCGCCCGAAGCCUUUUGGCCGAGGGCACGUCUGCCUGGGCGUCACGCAUCGCGUCGCCCCCCCCCAAAUUCUCCGUCAGGGGAGCUUGUGUUUCGGGGGCGGAUACUGGUCUCCCGUGCUCAUGGCGCGGUUGGCCGAAAUAGGAGUCCCUUCGAUGGACGCACGAACUAGUGGUGGUCGUAAAAACCCUCGUCUUUUGUUUCGUGCCGUUAGUCGCGAGGGAAGCUCUUCAAAAACCCCAGCGCGUCGUCUCUUGACGGCGCUUCGACCGCGACCCCAGGUCAGGCGGGACUACCCGCUGAGUUUAAGCAUAUCAAUAAGCGGAGGA
rnacentral:misc_RNA from 1 species